GAUGAACGCUGGCGGCGUGCCUAAUACAUGCAAGCCGAGCGAACAGACGAGGAGCUUGCUCCUUUGACGUUAGCGGCGGACGGGUGAGUAACACGUAGGUAACCUACCUAUAAGACUGGGAUAACUUCGGGAAACCGGAGCUAAUACCGGAUAAUAUUUCGAACCGCAUGGUUCGAUAGUGAAAGAUGGCUUUGCUAUCACUUAUAGAUGGACCUGCGCCGUAUUAGCUAGUUGGUAAGGUAACGGCUUACCAAGGCAACGAUACGUAGCCGACCUGAGAGGGUGAUCGGCCACACUGGAACUGAGACACGGUCCAGACUCCUACGGGAGGCAGCAGUAGGGAAUCUUCCGCAAUGGGCGAAAGCCUGACGGAGCAACGCCGCGUGAGUGAUGAAGGUCUUCGGAUCGUAAAACUCUGUUAUUAGGGAAGAACAAACGUGUAAGUAACUGUGCACGUCUUGACGGUACCUAAUCAGAAAGCCACGGCUAACUACGUG
rnacentral:rRNA from 1 species